rnacentral:lncRNA from 1 species
AAGGUUAAUCAACAAUUGCCAUCCAUUUCACACUAGUUCACCAUUGGUGUGCCAAAUCAAAGGUUUAUGUUUAGGACAGUGGAAUGGAACUGGGAAGACUUGAAAUUAGCAUUGUAAUUUCCAAGGAAUAUAAUUUAAUUUCUAGACACAAGCAAGGUCAAAUGAAUUUUAUAUCUUCUUCCUUGCCAGUUUAAAAGUCUCAUAAUUGAUGCAAUUGAUUCCCUGAUAUCUAAUGAAAAGUCCCCACCAGAGAAUUAAACAACAAGGAUCAUAAAUGAAGAUUCAAAGCUACUUCUCUUCCAUUUACCAAACUGGACAGAUUGUAUUUGUAAUGUACUUGCAACUUGCAAGUUUCCUCGAGAAUGUACCUCUGGCUCACCGUACCCAUAAUCCUUCCGUACCUCGCAUAUAUCGAUAAAAGCAACAUGUUACAUUAAUGGUGAUGAUACUCACUAUGAUUAUAAUAGUAUUAGUAUAGAAUUAAAAGGGUUGAGGAGUCUUUGCAGCCAGCAGGAAUUGUAGGACUAGAUGGGUAGAAGCCAAAAGCCAGAUGGCAAAAUAGACCCUUGUCACUUCCUAAUCAAUGCAGGACACAUGGAAGAAAUGGGUAUGGGCGAAUUAGGAAGGUGCAAUGAAGGUUAUUAAAGUGUUGGAGGAUGAAGAGGCAAGAUCCAUCAGGGUAAGGUUUUCAUCAGAGAAGAAUCAAAUCUCAAAUCCUCUGUUUCUGAUAGAUAUGGAGAUAAAAUGAAACUUCCAGGAAAAACUAGAAAAGGGUAUCUUUCACAACCACCAUAUCCAUAGUAAUGGCUAACGCAAUGCUUUGAUCAAAAUAAAUAUAUAUUAUCUUUGAGGGGGUGAACUUGUUGACCUAACUCUUUUAAUUAUCAGGUAUGCUCAUGGUUUUUAAAAUCGUUUGCAUUAUGUUUUUGGACGGAUUCUGGAGGAAAUACGUCCUGGCAUGGAAUGGAAUACCGACAUUUCAUAGAUUUUGGACAUGAUAUACAAGAAUAACAGAUUCAGCAGUGAGGAGAUGGAAUUUUGUUCCAAGUACCUUUCACCACCAGUGCCACAGUCCUGGUCCUGGAUCAAACAGACGGUGCUCUUAUCUUAUCUUGAAAUGGUGCAUUGGCUUUGGAUAGUCCAAGCUCAGCGUCAAACUGCUGUUGCAAGUUGCAAGUAGCUUCCAGAAGAAACAUUAUCUCCUAUUCAGUAAUUGCAAAGUGAACGGUGACCAUGUGCAUAUCAAUACCGGAUAUAGCUACAAGGUUUUUCAAAAUAAAUACAAGCAAGACUAUGUAUUAUACCGUCAUUGCAUCCAUACACUGAUACAAUAGCUAUAUGAAUCUAGGCAUACACUAAAUCAC